UCCCACGUUCAGAUUGCAGUCUGCAACUCGACUGCAUGAAGUCGGAAUCGCUAGUAAUCGCGGAUCAGCAUGCCGCGGUGAAUACGUUCCCGGGCCUUGUACACACCGCCCGUCACACCAUGAGAGUCGGGAACACCCGAAGUCCGUAGCCUAACCGCAAGGGGGGCGCGGCCGAAGGUGGGUUCGAUAAUUGGGGUGAAGUCGUAACAAGGUACC
rnacentral:rRNA from 1 species